AGAGUUUGAUCAUGGCUCAGGACGAACGCUGGCGGCGUGCUUAACACAUGCAAGUCGAACGGAAAGGCCCUUCGGGGUACUCGAGUGGCGAACGGGUGAGUAACACGUGGGUGAUCUGCCCUGCACUUUGGGAUAAGCCUGGGAAACUGGGUCUAAUACCGAAUAUGACCAUGCACUUCCUGGUGUGUGGUGGAAAGCUUUUGCGGUGUGGGAUGGGCCCGCGGCCUAUCAGCUUGUUGGUGGGGUAAUGGCCUACCAAGGCGACGACGGGUAGCCGGCCUGAGAGGGUGACCGGCCACACUGGGACUGAGAUACGGCCCAGACUCCUACGGGAGGCAGCAGUGGGGAAUAUUGCACAAUGGGCGCAAGCCUGAUGCAGCGACGCCGCGUGAGGGAUGACGGCCUUCGGGUUGUAAACCUCUUUCAGCACAGACGAAGCGCAAGUGACGGUAUGUGCAGAAGAAGGACCGGCCAACUACGUGCCAGCAGCCGCGGUAAUACGUAGGGUCCGAGCGUUGUCCGGAAUUACUGGGCGUAAAGAGCUCGUAGGUGGUUUGUCGCGUUGUUCGUGAAAACUCACAGCUUAACUGUGGGCGUGCGGGCGAUACGGGCAGACUUGAGUACUGCAGGGGAGACUGGAAUUCCUGGUGUAGCGGUGGAAUGCGCAGAUAUCAGGAGGAACACCGGCGGCGAAGGCGGGUCUCUGGGCAGUAACUGACGCUGAGGAGCAAAAGUGUGGGGAGCGAACAGGAUUAGAUACCCCGGUAGUCC
rnacentral:rRNA from 1 species